rnacentral:ncRNA from 2 species
ACCGUCUCAACGGGGUGCCCGAUGGUCUCAGGCUGAGAGGGGAGCGCAGGGCUUCCAACCCGUCGAACCUGAUCCGGAUCGUGCCGGCGGAGGGAUUGAGCACUGGCGUCUC